rnacentral:rRNA from 1 species
GACGAACGCUGGCGGCGUGCUUAACACAUGCAAGUCGAACGGAAAGGCCCUGCUUUUGUGGGGUGCUCGAGUGGCGAACGGGUGAGUAACACGUGAGUAACCUGCCCUUGACUUUGGGAUAACUUCAGGAAACUGGGGCUAAUACCGGAUAGGAGCUCCUGCUGCAUGGUGGGGGUUGGAAAGUUUCGGCGGUUGGGGAUGGACUCGCGGCUUAUCAGCUUGUUGGUGGGGUAGUGGCUUACAAAGGCUUUGACGGGUAGCCGGCCUGAGAGGGUGACCGGCCACAUUGGUACUGAGGGACGGCCCAGACGCCUACGGGAGGCAGCAGGGGGGAAUAUUACACAAUGGGCGGAAGUCUGAUGCAGCAACGCCGCGUGCGGGAUGACGGCCUUCGGGUUGUAAACCGCUUUCGCCUGUGACGAAGCGUGAGUGACGGUAAUUGGUAAAGAAGCACCGGCUAACUACGUG